AUUGAACGCUGGCGGCAGGCUUAACACAUGCAAGUCGAGCGAGGUGAUGGUGCUUGCACUAUCACUUAGCGGCGGACGGGUGAGUAAUGCUUAGGAAUCUGCCUAUUAGUGGGGGACAACAUCUCGAAAGGGAUGCUAAUACCGCAUACGUCCUACGGGAGAAGGCAGGGGAUCACUUGUGACCUUGCGCUAAUAGACGAGCCUAAGUCGGAUUAGCUAGUUGGGGGGGUAAAGGCCUACCAAGGCGACGAUCUGUAGCGGGUCUGAGAGGAUGAGCCGCAGGACUGGGACUGGGCCACGGCCCAGACUCCUACGGGAGGCAGCAGUGGGGAAUAUUGGACAAUGGGGGGACCCCUGAUCCAGCCAUGCCGCGUGUGUGAAGAAGGCCUUAUGGUUGUAAAGCACUUUAAGCGAGGAGGAGGCUCUUUUGGUUAAUACCCAAGAUGAGUGGACGUUACUCGCAGAAUAAGCACCGGCUAACUCUGUGCCAGCCGCCGCCGUAA
rnacentral:rRNA from 1 species